UGUUCAGGGCAUCGGCGGGCCGGAGGCCUACAUCGCCACUCAGGGGCCGCUACCCAACACUGUGCUGGACUUCUGGAGGAUGAUCUGGGAAUACAAGGUCACGGUCAUCGUGAUGGCGUGUCGAGAGUUUGAGAUGGGGCGGAAAAAGUGUGAGCGUUACUUCCCGCUGUUUGGAGAUGAGCCUGUGACAUUCGGCCCCUUCAAGAUCUCCUGUGUGAGUCCGUUACACUUCCCAGCAUGCACCACUCUCUCGUCACAUGACCUCCAGAGAAGCGUGUUGACUCUGCGGCUGUGACGACAGACGUUAUUGUUCACGAUGGGAUGUGAAGCGCGUUCACUCUGAAACUCGUUGUGACUAAAACCGGAUUGUUCUCAGUCACAAGUGAAGCACUGAAUUAGACAUCUUCAAACGUGGUCUGAAGAACUUCAUGGCCUGGUUUCACAGACAGGGCUUAGACUAAGCCAGGAUUAGGCCAUAGUUCAAUAAUGACAUUUAAGACAUUUUCAUUAACAUGCCUUAAAAAACAUUACUGGUGUGCAUCUUGAGACAAAACAAAGGCACUGAUAUUU